GACGGAGGAUGCAAGCGUUAUCCGGAAUGAUUGGGCGUAAAGCGUCCGUAGGCGGCUCGUUAAGGGUGCGGUGAAAGCCCGGGGCUUAACCCCGGGUCGGCCGUGCCGACUGAUGAGCUUGAGCACUGUAGAGGCAGGUGGAAUUCCGGGUGUAGCGGUGGAAUGCGUAGAGAUCCGGAAGAACACCAGUGGCGAAGGCGGCCUGCUGGGCAGUGGCUGACGCUGAGGCGCGACAGCGUGGGGAGUCAAACAGG
rnacentral:rRNA from 1 species